CAGUCGCCACGGUAAUACGAAGGGGGCUAGCGUUGUUCGGAAUUACUGGGCGUAAAGCGCACGUAGGCGGAUAUUUAAGUCAGGGGUGAAAUCCCGCAGCUCAACUGCGGAACUGCCUUUGAUACUGGGUAUCUUGAGUAUGGAAGAGGUUAGUGGAAUUGCGAGUGUAGAGGUGAAAUUCGUAGAUAUUCGGAGGAACACCAGUGGCGAAGGCGGCUCACUGGUCCAUUACUGACGCUGAGGUGCGAAAGCGUGGGGAGCAAACAGGAUUAGAUACCCGCGUAGUCCCUGUCUCUUAUAC
rnacentral:rRNA from 1 species